UCAAAACAGCGGACUUCGGUCCUUGCUGCACCCUUGUCUUUUGCGCACCGUAUUGUUUCCUCGGCGGGCUUGCCUGCCGGUUGGACAUUAUCAAACCUUUUUGUAGUUGCAAUCAGCGUCAGAAAAUAAUAAUAAUUA
rnacentral:misc_RNA from 1 species